AACGCACCUUGCGCUCCUUGGUAUUCCGAGGAGCAUGCCUGUUUGAGUGUCAUUAAAUUCUCAACCCCAGCGGUUUGUUGGGGCUUGGACUUGGAGCGUGCUGGCGAAGGUCGGCUCCUCUUUAAAUGCAUCAGCGGAAAAACGAACUUUUCCCUUCAGCGUGAUAAUCCUGUUGCGCUGUGGUGGGUCAAGGUCCCGCUCACAAUCGUCCUCGGACAAAAGACACAUCUGUUUUGACCUCAGAUCAGGUAGGACUACCCGCUGAACUUAA
rnacentral:misc_RNA from 2 species